CGGGCUGGACCUCUCGGGGUUACAGCCUUGCUGAAUUAUUCACCCUUGUCUUUUGCGUACUUCUUGUUUCCUUGGUGGGUUCGCCCACCACUAGGACAAACAUAAACCUUUUGUAAUUGCAAUCAGCGUCAGUAACAAAUUAAUAAUUACAACUUUCAACAACGGAUCUCUUGGUUCUGGCAUCGAUGAAGAACGCAGCGAAAUGCGAUAAGUAGUGUGAAUUGCAGAAUUCAGUGAAUCAUCGAAUCUUUGAACGCACAUUGCGCCCUUUGGUAUUCCAAAGGGCAUGCCUGUUCGAGCGUCAUUUGUACCCUCAAGCUUUGCUUGGUGUUGGGCGUCUUGUCUCUAGCUUUGCUGGAGACUCGCCUUAAAGUAAUUGGCAGCCGGCCUACUGGUUUCGGAGCGCAGCACAAGUCGCACUCUCUAUCAGCAAAGGUCUAGCAUCCAUUAAGCCUUUUUUUCAACUUUUGACCUCGGAUCAGGUAGGGAUACCCGCUGAACUUA
rnacentral:rRNA from 1 species